CGUCCGUCCGUCCGUCCGUCUGUCUGUCCGUCUGUCCGUCUGUCUGUCUGUCUGUCUGCACUAUAAGACACACAUAGCAACGAAGGUGCUCAUCCAUUUCAGGGCCCGUUCGUAUCUAGUUAUUUUGACAAAACAAACAAUACAUUUGUUCAUGAAACAUGGUUUUACAGGAUCUAUUUUCCAUAGAUCCAAUAGCAUAGCGUUGCGGUCAGCCCUGGCAGGCCUGUGUGUUGACCUAACCAAAGUGGGCAACAGACCAAAAUACCUUUUGUCGGUCGUAUCAGGGCAAUAUAUGUCUGAUAUGUUUGGGGAUGCAAAUAGGGACGCGUUGACAUAAUGUGACGAAGGAGGACAUGUCGCUGACGUCCCCUGCUGUCUUAUUUAAAGAGACGUCUCUGAGACUCUGUUCCCUCUCUUCUCCGCGGACCGCUUGCCCUUUGAGAACAGCGAUGGAGAGGCUUCUCGUUGCGAUCCUGCUGUUUUCCGGCAUCAUAUGGUGACAAGCAAAUUCCUCGUUCCGAAGCUGGAGACCCAGUGAGACAUUCAACAGGGACUGUGUGGCAGCGAUGUUUGAUGGAUACUGGUAUUCCUCCGAUUGUAAUCAAUCUAAGAUCUUCUGUUGUGAAACUACAAUGAUUGGUCCUACACCUGAAAAAAAAGCGAAAUCUUCCAUCUUUAAACUCACACUGAGCCGUCACGGGAUCUCAUCGACCCUCAAAUGAAGGCGGACAUUUUAAAGAUGCUUAGUGAGAAGCUGGAGAAGAAGGGGAUAAAGAGAGACACGGUCAAGCUGACAUGGAGACAGCAGCCAGUAGGAGACGUUUUUCUGCUCCAACCACAGCGUACCUCCAACCCCAGUAAACCGUGCAAAGAAUUAUGAGGAUUCACCGACACCAACGUCUACUACAGGAGCACCAACAACAUAGUUAAUGCUUAUUUACUAACGCUCAUUAACUAAUGUUAACUGUGUUAAUUAAUGUACCCUUAUGGUAAAGUGUUUAGGCAAAGAAUGCAUGGACGGUUAAAAGGUACACUUAACUAGCUAGCGUUUCCAUUCUGAUAAUACAUCUAUAAAUAUAGAAACAGCCCGGCCCCAGAAUGAAUGAAAUACCUGAACGCAUUUUAUAACGAUGUACGACGCCUUCCUAAAAAGGCAAACUCGGUGUAUCAAACACUCUGCCUGAACUCAAUAAAACCGGGUGAAUCCAAUUUGGUCAUGGUCUGAAGCGCUUGAAUAGCAACCUUUGUGCCAUGCUUUACCUAUAAUUAGUUGUUCUCCGAAGACCUCCGUACCCCUUAAUACUCUGAGGCUUCUGCUCCUCCCACGCACGGUGAACAAGGAACUCUCUGGAGGCACUAUAGUUGGCAUGGUUAGUGUGUCAAUGGACGGGGAAAUGUGCUCCGUGCAACAACCAACACCUCUGGUCUGUUGAAGUCAGGGAGUGGAUCCUUCUAGGCCAUAAGCAGACUACCCUCUCUCAUCAUAAAGUGGCCAACUUUGCAAAAGCAGUUUGAGGAAUUGAUUGCCAGAAACACAUUUUUGUCUGUGCCUUUCCCUCCCUCCUCCCUACUCUUAAUCUGAAACUGCUGUGGGUAUGAUCUAAGAGAGAGGGCAAGGCAUAAAAAGGAAGAACCUCAAAUGCCUCCUCUCUGCCUCACACCGGGACUCCCUCACUAGUCCCUCCAUCCUUUCCUGACUCCCUCCAUCCUUUCCCUCACUAGUCCCUCCCUCCAUCCUUUCCUGACUCCCUCCAUCCUUUCC
ensembl:lncRNA